GUGCUUGCUUCAACAGCACAGAUACUAAAAUUGGAACAAUACAGAGAAGACUAGCAUGAGCCCCGUGCAAGGAUGACAGUUCAUGAAGGAUUUGGAUGCAAAUUCAU